rnacentral:rRNA from 1 species
UACGUAGGGUGCGAGCGUUGUCCGGAAUUAUUGGGCGUAAAGAGCUCGUAGGCGGUCUGUCGCGUCGGUCGUGAAAACUUGGGGCUUAACCCUGAGCUUGCGGUCGAUACGGGCAUGACUGGAGUUCGGCAGGGGAGACUGGAAUUCCUGGUGUAGCGGUGAAAUGCGCAGAUAUCAGGAGGAACACCGGUGGCGAAGGCGGGUCUCUGGUUCACACCUGACGCUGAGGGGCGAAAGCGUGGGGAGCGAACGGG